rnacentral:tRNA from 1 species
GCCUGACUGGCUCAGUUGGUAGAGCAUGAAAGUCUUGUUCUUGGGGUCAUGAGUUCGAGCCCCAUGUUGGGUG